rnacentral:rRNA from 1 species
UUCCAGACUCCUACGGGAGGCAGCAGUGGGGAAUAUUGCACAAUGGGGGAAACCCUGAUGCAGCGACGCCGCGUGAAGGAUGAAGUAUUUCGGUAUGUAAACUUCUAUCAGCAGGGAAGAAAAUGACGGUACCUGACUAAGAAGCCCCGGCUAACUACGUGCCAGCAGCCGCGGUAAUACGUAGGGGGCAAGCGUUAUCCGGAUUUACUGGGUGUAAAGGGAGCGUAGACGGCAUGGCAAGUCUGAUGUGAAAACCAUGGGCUCAACCUGUGGCCUGCAUUUGAAACUGUUUUUCUUGAGUACUGGAGAGGCAGACGGAAUUCCUAGUGUAGCGGUGAAAUGCGUAGAUAUUAGGAGGAACACCAGUGGCGAAGGCGGUCUGCUGGACAGCAACUGACGCUGAGGCGCGAAAGCGUGGGGAGCAAACAGGAUUAGAUACCCCCGUACU